rnacentral:rRNA from 1 species
UACGGAAGGCAGCAGUGGGGAAUAUUGCACAAUGGGCGCAAGCCUGAUGCAGCCAUGCCGCGUGUAUGAAGAAGGCCUUCGGGUUGUAAAGUACUUUCAGCGGGGAGGAAGGCGGUGAAGUUAAUAGCUUCACCGAUUGACGUUACCCGCAGAAGAAGCACCGGCUAACUCCGUGCCAGCAGCCGCGGUAAUACGGAGGGUGCAAGCGUUAAUCGGAAUUACUGGGCGUAAAGCGCACGCAGGCGGUCUGUCAAGUCGGAUGUGAAAUCCCCGGGCUUAACCUGGGAACUGCAUUCGAAACUGGCAGGCUAGAGGUCUUGUAGAGGGGGUAGAAUUCCAGGUGUAGCGGUGAAAUGCGUAGAGAUCUGGAGGAAUACCGGUGGCGAAGGCGGCCCCCUGGGACAAAGCUGACGCUCAGGUGCGAAAGCGUGGGGAGCAAACAGGAUUAGGAUACC